GGAUUUAGAACACUGGGAAGUAAGGUCGAUUCUUAAAAAGCCCAAACGCAGCCCGAUAGGAUAUAUAAAGGCGAAAUAGGUUCAUUCAUUCACCAUCGGCGACGAUUUGCGUAGCAGAAGCUCCAACAUCACCAUCAUCAUCCAGGAAAGUAAUUGCAGAGGGCUUUUCCCAUGGCUGAUUACAAAUUCUCAAACUUGAAUACACAGGAUCCGCAAGAAAUCCUCAGGAUUAAGCUUCUCGAGAAUCUGUAUCGUGAGGGCGACAAGCAACCAGUACCAGCAGCAGCAGAGAAUUUCGAUUUCCACAAAGAGUUAAAAGAGAGAGUGGAGCAACGUAAAAGUAUGCUAGCUAUGGAGCCUGAGAUAAGGAAGAGAUGUCAGAUGCCUGUAGAGGAGUUUCUUAAACAAAUUAGGCUUGCAAUGUAUGAGCGAAAACUCUAUAUUGAUAGCAUCAUGCUCCGUCAGGACAAAGAUAGCCACUCAGGCAAAACUUGUGUCAGCGGCUCUAGCACUCCUCACUAUGCUGAUGAUGCAUAUGCCAGUGUCGUUGACGAGUUGAUGAAAACUGAUUUUCUCAAAGCUGACGCCGAUGAUCUUGCUGACUUUGUCGAUGGACCGCAAAAAACCCUUGACGAGGGUGAAAACUGAUGUAUUUUGGGAUGACGACUAAGAAGACUAUGCUAUGACCUUUUUACUCUCUUAAGUUUACAAAGUGUGAAUGCUGACUGAUUUUUAAUUUAGUAAAUCUUUUACUAGCA